rnacentral:tRNA from 1 species
GCCCAGCUAGCUCAGUCAGUAGAGCAUGAGACUCUUAAUCUCAGGGUUGUGGGUUCGAGCCCCAUGUUGGGCG